rnacentral:rRNA from 1 species
AUUGAACGCUGGCGGCAGGCCUAACACAUGCAAGUCGAGCGGUAACACAGGGAGCUUGCUCCCGGGUGACGAGCGGCGGACGGGUGAGUAAUGUCUGGGAAACUGCCUGAUGGAGGGGGAUAACUACUGGAAACGGUAGCUAAUACCGCAUAACGUCGCAAGACCAAAGAGGGGGACCUUCGGGCCUCUUGCCAUCAGAUGUGCCCAGAUGGGAUUAGCUAGUAGGUGGGGUAACGGCUCACCUAGGCGACGAUCCCUAGCUGGUCUGAGAGGAUGACCAGCCACACUGGAACUGAGACACGGUCCAGACUCCUACGGGAGGCAGCAGUGGGGAAUAUUGCACAAUGGGCGCAAGCCUGAUGCAGCCAUGCCGCGUGUAUGAAGAAGGCCUUCGGGUUGUAAAGUACUUUCAGCGGGGAGGAAGGCGAUAAGGUUAAUAACCUUGUCGAUUGACGUUACCCGCAGAAGAAGCACCGGCUAACUCCGUGCCAGCCGCCGCAGUAACAC